GGAGAUGUGGUAAAUAGAAAAAAAAUCUGAAAAAAUUUUGAGGAAAAAAAGAGAGAAUUUUGAGUGGCAAAAGUUGCUACUAGGGUGGUGAGAUUUUUAGCAAGUGUUGCUUCAGUAUCCUAGGAUUUGAUUUUUUGAUAUGUUAGAGCCAAAAAUCAAAUCUUAGAUUGUGUGACAUCUGAAGAGUAUCUUCUUAGUAUCAUUUUAGUGGUA
rnacentral:lncRNA from 1 species